AUUUUGCCUGUUCAAAAAUAACGAUAGCAAUGCCUGAUUGAUUAUUCGACAAGCGCUUGGAUCGGGAAAUAUUUCUGCGAGCUGAAUGUUUAUAGGACAAAGAUGAAGAAGGCCAAGAUGCCAGAGGACACCAAACUACAGCAUAUCCCACAACCGUCCGAGGCGGCCAAAUUACCCCAGUUACCUCCCCUGUCCAUCGACACCAUGACACAGGUAGAGCUACAGGACUUUAUCCCUCAGCUGGUCAGCAUCAUGAUGUCCAAUAAGGCUGGCCUCCACAGGAAGAACUCGCGGCCUGACUGGUGGCCACUACACCUUCCCUGGACGGGUACCAAGUCAGACCUACUGUAUCAACAGAGUAAUUGGUCUGAACCAUUGAGAGACGCAAUAAAGAAGUGCUACCGCCACAUGGGACAAGAAAAGUUGUUACAGGUCAACAGGUGUGACAGCAAACAGACAUCCCUCCACGGUAAACCUGUGGACCGUUUGGACCCCUCCCCCAGCUACUACACUGGACCCUCCCCCCACAACCACAAUAAGAGGCCGUGUCAGUAUGCAGAGAUCUACAUCUGUUACUUCUGUGAGCACGAGUUCUCGGACAGGACUCAAAUGAGGGAGCACCAAGCCCUGUGCCAGGAGCGACCUCCCCAACUCCAGGAGGCCAUGAAGAUACCACCCCAGCCCUCUGACUCCACCCAGGGGCCCCCUCAAAUGAGCCCCAUCAAACUGUCCCUCAGUUAUAAGACCCCCAGGGGCCCCAAAGACGGCUUCAUCAAGAUGUUUAAUCUGGUGCCCAAACAGAAGGCGGACAAGAUUCUAGCGCGACACAGGAACAGCCUGGACGUUGAGUGUGAGGAGUUGGAUUACUCUGUACCGGACACGCCCAUCUCCCCCACAACCCCACGGACACCCAAGUCCCUGAUAUCGCAGCUCAGUCGAGAGGAAGGCCCUGCCUCCAGAAAGAGGCUCAGUUACUCGGAGCCUGGGGAUAACGAGGACCGGGAAAGCGUGAUCAGUGGAUGCAGUGAAGACGCAGAGGAGAAGGCAACCCAGAAAGGAAAGUCUCUGUUAGCCAUCGAUAUCUCCUCCCUGCUCGGACAGAGGAUUCAAAAACACGUCAAAGCAGACUCAUUUAUUCAGGUGAUUGGGGACUCGGAAUCAUUUUGCAAAACGCCAGUCAAAAACUCUUUCUAUGAAAAGCUACGCAACAGAACUAUAACCUUCCCACUAUCAUAUAAACCGCGGCGAAAACACGAUGGGAAAUUUGUGCAUAAGUAUGGUUUCAACAGCAAACAGAAAAAGGAGAUAAAGAAGAGGCUGAAGUCAGGACUCAGCAAAGAGAGUAGAGAGCUUUUGAGAAGUUUACCCAAGUGUUCAGUGGAUGUGGCCAGGCUUACAAACUGGGAACUCAGACGAUACCUGUCUAAACACUCCUAUAGAAAACUUAUGAACAUAAAACCCACAGCCAGUGUGUCUGAUUCAGAAUUCCCAAAGGAACCCCUUCUUAUGUCUAAAAAUGUGGAUAAACUUCUUGGUCUGAAGAAAAGGUCUGAGUUGAAUGAAACGAAGCUGAAUCAGUUGGCUCCAGUGAAUGUCGUGUCAGAGGACGCCAAUGCAGAGAUCACAAAGCAUAAGUUGACCCUGUACCGCUGUCUGUUGUCUGAUCUAGCUGCUGUGCAGUCCAAUCUGAAGAAAAACAAGACAACCAAGGCAAUCCAGCAGUCUCUGACACUCAAACUGAAGCAGACGCCAGCAGAUGGGCACAUCUCAGUGAAGAAAGAAAAGAUUGCAAUUCCUCCAGUAAAAUCCUCCACACCACUCAUACAACCCUCGUGGGUACCUCAUGGAAACAAAUUGAAGAAGAGACAAUCAGGGAAUCGGUCAGUCGACAACAUCUCCAUCAUCUCAAUUUCUUCUGAUGAGGAAUCGGUCAACUCCCGUUGCUGCGCAGCUUGUAGGAAGAAGAAGCUUGGCCUUUGUGUAGCGGACUUGUCUCUGAUGCCUUGCUCCUCCUCCACUACGCCGCCCUUGAGUGUGUCCCCACCAAGUUCGGUGUCCGUCACCCCUCAGGUCUCCCCCUGCAGUUGUAUUUCUUCCCCAGAGUCUGAAAAAUCUCUCGGUUUAAAUCUGUCCCCCACACCUGACCUAGUCCAGUGGCACGUUAAGUCUCGUACAUUUCAGACUUCCAAAGGCAAACCCAGCUCUAAACCCUUACUCAAAACGGCUAUAGAAACGCCAGUGUCGGCCUCGGUCUUUCAGAAAACAAGACAAAGAGAGAUGAACUCUCAAAGUAAGCAGAAUGUUUCAGUCUCCCAGAAGACUCCUGUGAAGAAAUCUCUCAGUGUGUCCAAACUAAGAACCUCUCCUAGAAAAUCAUCUCAACAGCAGCCAUCAGAGGGGAGUGGGCAGAGUCAAACC
rnacentral:misc_RNA from 1 species